rnacentral:rRNA from 1 species
GGCCUACCAUGGUGGUAACGGGUAACGGGGUGUUAGGGCACGACACCGGAGAGGGAGCCUGAGAAACGGCUACCACAUCCAAGGAUGGCAGCAGGCGCGCAAAUUACCCAAUCCCGACACGGGGAGGUAGUGACAAUAAAUAACAAUACGGGGUUCUUUCGGAUCUCGUAAUUGGAAUGAGUACAAUUUAAAUCUCUUAACGAGGAACAAUUGGAGGGCAAGUCUGGUGCCAGCAGCCGCGGUAAUUCCAGCUCCAAUAGCGUAUAUUAAAGUUGUUGCAGUUAAAAAGCUCGUAGUUGAAUUUCGAGAUCAAAUUGUUGGUCGUGCCUCGGUACGUACUGGCAUUAUUGAUUUCUCCCUUCUGAAGAACCUUGAUGUCAUUAAUUUGGUGGCUUGGGGAAUCAGGACUGUUACUUUGAAAAAAUUAGAGUGUUUAAAGCAGGCUCACGCUUGAAUACAUUAGCAUGGAAUAAUGAAAUAGGACGUUUGAUUCUAUUUUGUUGGUUUCUAGGAUCGACGUAAUGAUUAAUAGGGAUAGUUGGGGGCAUUAGUAUUCAAUUGUCAGAGGUGAAAUUCUUGGAUUUAUUGAAGACUAACUACUGCGAAAGCAUUUGCCAAGGAUGUUUUCAUUAAUCAAGAACGAAAGUUAGGGGAUCGAAGACGAUCAGAUACCGUCGUAGUCUUAACCAUAAACUAUGCCGACUAGGGAUCGGAUGAUGUUAAUUUUUUAAUGACUCAUUCGGCGCCUUACG